GACAGAGGGUGCGAACGUUGCUCGGAAUUACUGGGCGUAAAGCGUGUGUAGGCGGCCACGCAAGUCGGAUGUGAAAGCCCUGGGCUCAACCCAGGAAGUGCACCCGAUACUGCGACGGCUUGAGUACCGGAGAGGUUGGUGGAAUUCUCGGUGUAGAGGUGAAAUUCGUAGAUAUCGAGAGGAACACCGGUGGCGAAGGCGGCCAACUGGACGAGUACUGACGCUGAGACACGAAAGCGUGGGGAGCGAACAGG
rnacentral:rRNA from 1 species